rnacentral:rRNA from 1 species
UACGUAGGGGGGCAAGCGUUUGUCCGGAAUCAUUGGGCGUAAAGAGCGUGUAGGCGGCCAGAUAAGUCCGCUGUGAAAUCUCGAGGCUCAACUUCGAGCUGUCGGUGGAAACUGUCUGGCUAGAGUCCGGAAGAGGAGAAUGGAAUUCCUGGUGUAGCGGUGAAAUGCGCAGAUAUCAGGAAGAACACCCGUGGCGAAGGCGGUUCUCUGGGACGGUACUGACGCUGAGGCGCGAAAAGCGUGGGGGAGCGAACAGG